UUACCGAGUGCGGGCCCCUCGGGGCCCAACCUCCCACCCGUGUUGCCCGAACCUAUGUUGCCUCGGCGGGCCCCGCGCCCGCCGACGGCCCCCCUGAACGCUGUCUGAAGUUGCAGUCUGAGACCUAUAACGAAAUUAGUUAAAACUUUCAACAACGGAUCUCUUGGUUCCGGCAUCGAUGAAGAACGCAGCGAAAUGCGAUAACUAAUGUGAAUUGCAGAAUUCAGUGAAUCAUCGAGUCUUUGAACGCACAUUGCGCCCUCUGGUAUUCCGGAGGGCAUGCCUGUCCGAGCGUCAUUGCUGCCCUCAAGCCCGGCUUGUGUGUUGGGCCCCGUCCCCCCCGCCGGGGGGACGGGCCCGAAAGGCAGCGGCGGCACCGCGUCCGGUCCUCGAGCGUAUGGGGCUUCGUCACCCGCUCUAGUAGGCCCGGCCGGCGCCAGCCGACCCCCAACCUUUAAUUAUCUCAGGUUGACCUCGGAUCAGGUAGGGAUACCCGCUGAACUUAAGCAUAUCA
rnacentral:rRNA from 1 species